rnacentral:rRNA from 1 species
UACAGAGGGUGCAAGCGUUAAUCGGAAUUACUGGGCGUAAAGCGUGCGCAGACGGUUGCGUAAGUCAGAUGUGAAAGCCCCGGGCUCAACCUGGGAAUUGCAGUGGAAACUGGCGGGCUUGAGUGUGGCAGAGGGGGGUGGAAUUCCGCGUGUAGCAGUGAAAUGCGUAGAGAUGCGGAGGAACACCGAUGGCGAAGGCAGCCCCCUGGGCUGACACUGACGCUGAGGCACGAAAGCGUGGGGAGCAAACAGG